rnacentral:rRNA from 1 species
UGGGGAAUAUUGCACAAUGGAGGCAACUCUGAUGCAGCAAUGUCGCGUGAGUGAAGAAGGCCCUUGGGUCGUAAAGCUCUUUUAUGGGGGAAGAUGAUGACGGUACCCCAAGAAUAAGCACCGGCUAACUACGUGCCAGCAGCCGCGGUAAUACGUAGGGUGCGAGCGUUGUUCGGAAUUACUGGGCGUAAAGGGCGCGCAGGCGGAAUAGCAAGUCGGAGGUGAAAGCCCGGGGCUCAACCCCGGAGGGUCUUUCGAAACUGCUAAUCUAGAGAGGGUCAGGGGCCAGCAGAAUUCUUGGUGUAGAGGUGAAAUUCGUAGAUAUCAAGAGGAAUACCGGUGGCGAAAGCGGCUGGCUGGGGCCACUCUGACGCUGAGGCGCGAAAGCGUGGGGAGCAAACAGG